rnacentral:lncRNA from 1 species
AUGGCGCCAAAAGCGAAAAAGGAAGCGCCUGCCCCUCCUAAAGCCGAAGCCGAAGCCAAAGCAAAGGCUUUAAAGGCGAAGACGGCAGUGUUGAAAGAUGUCCACAUCCACACAAAAAAAGAAGACCCGCACGUCACCCACCUUCCGGAGGCCCAGGACACUGCGACUCGAGGCCACCCAAAUAUCCUCGGAAUAGCGCCCCCAGGAGAAACAAGCUUGACCGUUAUGCCAUCAUCAAGUUUCUGUGGACCACUGAGUCCGCCAUGAAGAAGAUAGAAGACAACACCACACUUGUGUUCACGGUGGAUGUUAAAGCCAACAAGCAGCAGAUCAAACAGGCUGUGAAGAAGCUCUGUGACAUUGAUGCGGCCAAGGUCAACACCCUGAUUCGGCCUGGUGGAGAGAAGAAGGCAUAUGUUUGACUGGCUCCUGAUUACGAUGUUUUGGAUGUUGCCAAAAAAUUGGUAUCAUCUAA